CCCCGGUAAACGGCGGCCGUAACUAUAACGGUCCUAAGGUAGCGAAAUUCCUUGUCGGGUAAGUUCCGACCUGCACGAAUGGCGUAAUGAUGGCCAGGCUGUCUCCACCCGAGACUCAGUGAAAUUGAACUCGCUGUGAAGAUGCAGUGUACCCGCGGCAAGACGGAAAGACCCCGUGAACCUUUACUAUAGCUUGACACUGAACAUUGAGCCUUGAUGUGUAGGAUAGGUGGGAGGCUUUGAAGUGUGGACGCCAGUCUGCAUGGAGCCGACCUUGAAAUACCACCCUUUAAUGUUUGAUGUUCUAACGUGGACCCGUAAUCCGGGUUGCGGACAGUGUCUGGUGGGUAGUUUGACUGGGGCGGUCUCCUCCUAAAGAGUAACGGAGGAGCACGAAGGUUGGCUAAUCCUGGUCGGACAUCAGGAGGUUAGUGCAAUGGCAUAAGCCAGCUUGACUGCGAGCGUGACGGCGCGAGCAGGUGCGAAAGCAGGUCAUAGUGAUCCGGUGGUUCUGAAUGGAAGGGCCAUCGCUCAACGGAUAAAAGGUACUCCGGGGAUAACAGGCUGAUACCGCCCAAGAGUUCAUAUCGACGGCGGUGUUUGGCACCUCGAUGUCGGCUCAUCACAUCCUGGGGCUGAAGUAGGUCCCAAGGGUAUGGCUGUUCGCCAUUUAAAGUGGUACGCGAGCUGGGUUUAGAACGUCGUGAGACAGUUCGGUCCCUAUCUGCCGUGGGCGCUGGAGAACUGAGGGGGGCUGCUCCUAGUACGAGAGGACCGGAGUGGACGCAUCACUGGUGUUCGGGUUGUCAUGCCAAUGGCACUGCCCGGUAGCUAAAUGCGGAAGAGAUAAGUGCUGAAAGCAUCUAAGCACGAAACUUGCCCCGAGAUGAGUUCUCCCUGAGACUUAGAGUCUCCUGAAGGAACGUUGAAGACGACGACGUUGAUAGGCCGGGUGUGUAAGCGCAGCGAUGCGUUGAGCUAACUGGUACUAAUGAA
rnacentral:rRNA from 1 species